GAAAACACAAUUUUUAUCAAGUUUUAUUUAAUUCACCUGUGCACUUUAUUGUGGGACCUCGUGUCAUCAUGAAUGAUAAAUUUUAUUUAAGAAUUGAAUGCUUCUUUUUGUAACUUCAUUGGGGUGUAAAAGCGUUGACCGAAGUACAUUUUGUAUGAAGCGCUUCAUUCUAAAAAUGUACGCACGGUCAACGCUUUUACAACCCUAUAAAGUUACAAAAAGAAGCAUUCAAGCAUUCAAUACUUAUAAUUACAUUUUUUUUAGCUAGAAUCGUGAAAACACGAAUUUUAUCAAUUUUUUUUAUUUAAUUCACCUGUGCACUUUAUUGUGGGACCUCGUGUUAUCACGACUGAAAAGUUUUAUUGAGUACUGCA
rnacentral:lncRNA from 1 species